rfam:Triticum aestivum genome assembly, contig: Triticum_aestivum_CS42_TGACv1_scaffold_030506_1BL
AUACUAUUACCUCCGCCCCAAAUUAGUUGUCUCAAUCUUGUCUUGAGACGGAUGUAUCUAACUCUAAAACGUGUUUAGAUACAUCUGUAUCUGGACAAAUUUGAGUCAACUAUUUUUUGACGGAGAGAGUAUAUG